UCUCCAGGAAGGGAAAGAAAGAGAACAGAAGAUUAACUUUUCCACAAGUGAUCUGGGAAGAGCAGAGGGAGACAGUCACUAGAGCUGUUCUUAAUCCUGGCUGCACAUUGGAAUCUGUUGGGAGCUUUACAAAACCUCAUUGUUAAGGUCACAGACCAGAUGGCCCUUGUGCCCACGCCCACCCCCAGGACAGUGACCGACCGACUUCAAUACAUCCCAUGGAGUAGAAUUUUAAACUAUCCAACAGACAAUCUGACCAUCACAAUCACAUGCAUGACUGGGAAAAGCCUUGGUCCUAUUUGUGAUUGUAGGGCCAUCUUCUCUUCCUAUGCAGGUGUUGCCAUGUGACUGGCAUGAGCCUGCAUUUCACUGCCAUUUGGAAGCAGAGCUGACCCACAUCUUCAGAUGAGUGCAUCCCUCUAAACUGAAGCCUGUGGUGGAAGACAGCCUCCAGAGGAGACCCCCGGACUCACUGCUAAUAUAGGCACAGGGAUAUUUGAAU